AACGAACGCUGGCGGCAUGCCUAACACAUGCAAGUCGAACGAGACCUUCGGGUCUAGUGGCGCACGGGUGCGUAACGCGUGGGAACCUGCCCUUAGGUUCGGAAUAACUCCCCGAAAGGGGUGCUAAUACCGGAUAAUGUCUUCGGACCAAAGAUUUAUCGCCUUUGGAUGGGCCCGCGUUGGAUUAGCUAGUUGGUAGGGUAAAAGCCUACCAAGGCGACGAUCCAUAGCUGGUCUGAGAGGAUGAUCAGCCACACUGGGACUGAGACACGGCCCAGACUCCUACGGGAGGCAGCAGUGGGGAAUAUUGGACAAUGGGCGAAAGCCUGAUCCAGCAAUGCCGCGUGAGUGAGGAAGGCCUUAGGGUUGUAAAGCUCUUUUACCCGGGAGGAUAAUGACAGUACCGGGAGAAUAAGCUCCGGCUAACUCCGUGC
rnacentral:rRNA from 1 species